AAACAUCAUCAGGAGUGGUUUCAUAGUUGAAACCCGCCAACCGAGCCCAGAUAAAUCAGGGAAGCGGUGGUUAGAGCCUUAAACGCUAGAUGUGCCUAGGAAAAUAGGAAACACAAAGCCGCCUGA
ncrna:unclassified sequences SAM-I/IV variant riboswitch